UACCCAUGGUCAGGGUGAAGUGCCGAGAAGUCGGCAUGGAGGCCCGAACCGUUGUCCGUUGCAAAGGGCUCGGAUGAACUGUGGGUCGGAGUGAAAGGCUAAUCAAACCUGGUGAUAGCUGGUUCUCCCCGAAAUGUAUUUAGGUACAGCCUUAUGUAUGCUUUUAGGAGGUAGGGCACUGAAUGGACUAGGGCUCUUCACGGGGUACCAAAUCCAAUCAAACCACGAAUGCCUAAAAGUUUAGCAUAGGAGUGAGACUGCGGGUGCUAAGAUUCGUAGUCGAGAGGGAAACAGCCCAGAACGUCAGCUAAGGUCCCCAAGAUAGAGCUAAGUGGGAAAGGAUGUAGGAUCGCACAAACAGCCAGGAGGUUGGCUUAGAAGCAGCCAUCCUUUAAAGAAAGCGUAAUAGCUCACUGGUCUAGUAAUCCUGCGCCGAAAAUUUAACGGGGCUUAAGCUCUACACCGAAGCUACGUAUUGUUCCGAUUUAUCGGAAUAGUGGUAGGGGAGCAUUCCACUGUUCGCUGAAGCUAUGGCGUAAGCCAUGGUGGAGAGUGUGGAAGAGAUUAUGUCGGCAUAAGUAGCACAAAAGUCUGUGAAAAACAGGCUCGCCGUAAACCUAAGGUUUCCUGGGGAAGGAUAUUCCGCCCAGGGUAAGUCGGUCCUAAGUCGAGGCCGAGAGGAGUAGACGAUGGACAACUGGUUAAAAUUCCAGUACCAUCUUUGAUGCGUUUGACCUACGGGGGGACGCAGAGGGAUAGGUUCAGCCGGGCGUUGGUUGUCCCGGUACAAGCCUGCAGGGUAGUGAUUAGGUAAAUCCGGUCACUAUAAGCCCGAAGGGUUACGUGGAUCCCGGGUAAUUCCGGGAGAACUGGCUGAUUCCGCACUGCCAAGAAAAACCUCUAUGGGAGUAUCAUGGAUGACCGUACCGCAAACCGACACAGGUAGGUGGGUAGAAGAUACCAAGGCGAACGAGUGAACCCUCGCAAAGGAACUCGGCAAAAUUGCCCCGUAACUUCGGGAGAAGGGGUACUUCUGCAAAGAAGUGACACUAAAGAGGCCCAAGCGACUGUUUAGCAAAAACACAGGAGCCUGCUAACUGGUAACAGGAUGUAUAGGCUCUGACGCCUGCCCGGUGCCGGAAGGUUAACAGGAGGGGUUAGGUCUUCGGACCGAAGCUCUGAAUCGAAGCCCCGGUAAACGGCGGCCGUAACUAUAACGGUCCUAAGGUAGCGAAAUUCCUUGUCGGGUAAGUUCCGACCUGCACGAAUGGCGUAACGACUUGGGCACUGUCUCUGCGAGGGGCUCGGCGAACUUGAGAUACCGGUGAAGACGCCGGUUACCUGCAACAAGACGGAAAGACCCCGUGAACCUUUACUACAACUUGACAGUGAAUUUUGGUACAGCAUGUGUAGGAUAGGUGGGAGACUAUGAAACCGGGACGCAAGUACUGGUGGAGUCAACCUUGAAAUACCACCCUUGUUUUAUUGAGGUUCUAACUAGUCCCCAUUAUCUGGGGAUAGGACAUUGUCUGGUGGGUAGUUUGACUGGGGCGGUCGCCUCCCAAACAGUAACGGAGGCGUUCAAAGGUCUGCUCAGGCUGGUCGGAAAUCAGCCUUCGAGUGCAAAGGCAUAAGCAGGCUUAACUGUGAGGCAUACAGGCCGAGCAGAUGGGAAACCAGGUCUUAGUGAUCCGGUGGCUCUGUGUGGAAGGGCCAUCGCUCAACGGAUAAAAGGUACUCCGGGGAUAACAGGCUGAUGACGCCCAAGAGUUCAUAUCGACGGCGUUGUUUGGCACCUCGAUGUCGGCUCAUCGCAUCCUGGGGCUGGAGCAGGUCCCAAGG
rnacentral:rRNA from 1 species